AUAUAGGGAAUAGGGCCCUGGUCUAUAGUGGUGCACUAUAUAGGGAAUAGGGCCCUGGUCUAAUGUAGUACCACUAUAUAGGGAAUAGAGGUCUAUUGGACAGGUGAUUGUUACUAUAGAGGUCUAUUGGACAGGUGUUUGUUUCUAUAGAGGUCUAUUGGACAGGAAUAUGUUACUAUAGAGGUCUAUUGGACAGGUGAUUGUUACUAUAGAGGUCUAUUGGACAGGUGAUUGUUACAAUAGAUGUCUAUUGGACAGGUGUUUGUUUCUAUAGAGGUCUAUUGGACAGGUGUUUGUUUCUAUAGAGGUCUAUUGGACAGGAAUAUGUUACUAUAGAGGUCUAUUGGACAGGUGUUUGUUACUAUAGAGGUCUAUUGGACAGGAAUAUGUUACUAUAGAGGUCUAUUGGACAGGUGAUUAUUACAAUAGAGGUCUAUUGGACAGGUGAUUGUUACUAUAGAGGUCUAUUGGACAGGUGUUUGUUUCUAUAGAGGUCUAUUGGACAGGUGUUUGUUUCUAUAGAGGUCUAUUGGACAGGUGUUUGUUACUAUAGAGGUCUAUGGGACAGGUAAUGGUUACUAUAGAGGUCUAUUGGACAGGUGUUUGUUUCUAUAGAGGUCUAUUGGACAGGUGUUUGUUACUAUAGAGGUCUAUGGGACAGGUGAUUGUUUCUAUAGAGGUCUGUUGGACAGGUGUUUGUUUCUAUAGAGGUCUAUUGGACAGGUGAUUGUUACUAUAGAGGUCUAUUGGACAGGUAAUGGUUACUAUAGAGGUCUAUUGGACAGGAAUAUGUUACUAUAGAGGUCUGUUGGACAGGUAAUGGUUACUAUAGAGGUCUAUGGGACAGGUAAUUGUUUCUAUAGAGGUCUGUUGGACAGGUGUUUGUUUCUAUAGAGGUCUAUUGGACAGGUGUUUGUUUCUAUAGAGGUCUGUUGGACAGGUAAUGGUUACUAUAGAGGUCUAUUGGACAGGAAUAUGUUACUAUAGAGGUCUGUUGGACAGGUAAUGGUUACUAUAGAGGUCUAUUGGACAGGUAUUUGUUACUAUAGAGGUCUGUUGGACAGGUAAUGGUUACUAUAGAGAAGGGGUUUGCCAUCUAAAAGUACCAUGGAUGCUGAAUACAAGUAGUUUCUAUAACACAUCCUAAUACCAUGUCUAUCAUUUACAUAAACAUACCCCCCCCACCCCCCCAAAGAGAGCUUUACAAUGGAGGCAAUAUAUGACAUCAUUCACCGUCUCUCAACUUCUUCUCCUUUCGAAGAGAUCAAAUGAAUAUGUAUUUUUAUUUUAUAUUCCAAAUGCGGGCAUUUUGUGAAUUUCUGGUAAUUACGUAAAUUAUUUUUUUUUAUUUGAUUUGAUUUUUAUUUAUUUUUUUCCCUGCCUGCCGUGAGCAAGAAAUGUGAUGUUUUUACCAUGUGGAUUGUGCUGUUGCUCAAAGUAAGUCUGUCCUCGUUGCUUUUGUAUAAUGGACGGAGUAGAUUUGUGUUGUAUUACACAAACAGCCUCAAAAUCUAUUGUUAAUAUAACUUGUUGUUGUGGUUCUUAUUAUUAUUAUUCGAUGCUUUAGAUGCCAAAAUGCAUAUAUAAAAUUAAAUAAAAAUAAUAGCCUUGAAUCUAUCUAUCUAUCUAUCUAUCUAUCUAUCUAUCUAUCUAUCUAUCUAUCUAUCUAUCUAUCUAUCUAUCUAUCUAUCUAUGGUUUUCAUGAUUAUAUAAAGAGAAUGUAUAGACAAUCUGUCAUCAUUUUUUUUUUUAAAGCUACUAAAAUCACUGAUAUAUAACUAAAUGUACUUUUAAAUCAUGAUUUCCAUAACAAUAUUGUAUUAUUAGUGCUUCUAUUUCAUGCUGUGAUUUCAUCCUGGUCAACGUGUACAAAGGUUGAACAACAGCUGUUGUGUGUUAAGCCUUGAGGUGCAGAUCCCCUGCUAUAUGACAGGCCUACUAACACACCAACCUAGCCAGCCUGGAUCCACACAUUUACAAUGGGACUCUUUUUGUUGUUAGUUUUGUUGUUGUUGCUAGAAUUCACCACCACAGUUACUUUAUCUGUUCCCACGGGAACAUGUUUAUACCGUUUUGUUUUCUAUAAUGUAUUUGUGUUUACACUUUAGAUGGGAUUCUCUUUUUUUUUUUUUUUCUGAGGAUGUGUGACGUCUGUUGCUUCUCAUUUCAUGGUGUAUAUUACUGUGGCCAUGCUUGUAUUAUCUUUUCAUAUGUGUUAUUAAAUGGAACACAUAAUAAUAAUAAAGAUCUGGAAUUCCAGUUGGGGGGUUGUAUCCCCAAGUUCACCUCCCCAAUUUUUUUUUUUUUUUAAAGAAAGAGAUCUGUGUUCUAUAUUUAGCUCAGUUUUCUAGAACUGUGUCGUCUCAGGAUCUUUGAUGUGUUCUAACACAAGCUUGGUAAGAGGAAGCUUCUGAUUGGCUUAUUCAAGGAAUAGUCAACACAGAUGUUUGUUUUUUUCGUUUGGAUUAUUUAGGUAGCUGUGAAAUUAAGACUCUCUGACUAAAAAGGUUGUUGUUGCAAAACAAAAGUUGGUCCACCUAGUUCUCGUACUAUUAAUUCAUUUAAUCAUGUUGUCUGUCUAUUGUUUUAAAUAUCUCACAACAUACAAGAAUCAUUCUGUUUCUAUUGUUUUUUAAAAAUGGUUCUGAAGACAAACCGUAAGAGCUGAUAUCUUAUUUAUGCUACUACUACUGCUGCCUGCUUCUUCUGUGUCCCACACUGAACUGAAGACGAAACAUCUACCUGUGUAAUGUGUGAUGCUCUAGACUGAUACCUAGCUAGCUAGCUUUCUGAUGGUUCCUCUGGACUGAUACCUACCUAGCUAGCUGGCUUUCCGAUGGUUCCUCUAGACUGAUACCUAGCUAGCUAGCUUUCUGAUGGUUCCUCUAGACUGAUACCUAGCUAGCUAGCUUUCUGAUGGUUCCUCUAGACUGAUACCUAGCAUGCUAGCUUUCUGAUGGUUUUGCUGUGUGGACCAGGAUCGUGCUGAAUUUGCUGUUCUUUCUCUCUACAUUUUUCUAUUUUCUCCACUUGAGUUUUUAUUUGUAAUGUACUUAAACAGUCAUUUACUGCAAGAUACUUUGAAAUGUAUUUUUGGGAACGCUAUGAUGAUAUAACUUGUCAAUGUGACUCUUUAAUAUAAAAAUAAAUACAACAUUUAACACCAA